UUAUCCACUAAACAAUACACCACACACUCAAAUGUAACAAUCAUCAUUACUAAUUCUUUCUAUCAAAUGCCCACAUUUUCUGCUUCUGAAUCUUUUUCUAUAAGAAACAUCUGACUAUUAUUUUGAGAUGCGUCCGGAAUCGAAUCAUCGUAAAGGUUUUGAUUGAACAGCGUUAGCUGCAUCUUUCAAUAGCAGCCAUCGAGCUCCAUUCACAAGUUCUUCCUUUACCAUGAACAAAACCGCUGCUGCAAGAACGCUUUGUACUAUCUUUGUAUUCAUUCCUUUGUAGAAGCCAUGGAGCCCUUCGUAACGUAUCAUCUUCAAAAUUGCAUCCAGUGUACCUGAUGGAAACACAGCUUUAGCAAAUACUAAUCUUUUUCAAAAGAUUAAAGAUCGUGAAAAAGAAUACGCGAAUAGAAACAUCUCGUACGUUAUGGGAGGUACUUGCCUCUAAAGCAGUUACACCUUUGUUACUCUGGCUCGAAGCACGACGCUGCUUCAACUUCUUUAGUAGGGUCUCAUACAGCAUAAACUGUAUGGAAGGAUUGCUGACCUGGUAGAAACAAAUAGGGACAAGAAGUGACAAUCCUACAGCAUGGACCAGAGCUAAUUGACACAUACCAUAACCAAUGUCGGGAAAACGCCUUUCCAGAAUCCCCAGAUUCCAGCUUCAUCAAAGACUUCUUGAACCUGCAGAAAACAAACUACUUGAAUUAGAAUCUCAAGGACUAAAUCAUCCAUAAAAUCAACUGUAAGUUAAGCCCAACCAGUUGAAUCAUAUUUUCAAUGGCCAACACUAUGGUAUUGAAUAACAAUCAAAACGAUACUCGGGGAACUAUGACCUCGUAGUUACACAACUUUUUUGCAAGAUGUGAUAUGAUUUCCUUUGUGUAUCCAACAGGGCAACACCCCAUACCCUUUGUUACAUGUCAUUUGAUUGUUUUUUCUUCUCGGGUA